GCCUGGUACUGGACACCCACCAUCUCUAACAAGUAUUCAUGGCAAUUAAUGCUGGUGCCACGGGCUGGUGACUCACAGUAACAGACAGCCACAGCCAUCAUGUUCACCAAAUAUGGCAAACAAGAAGUAGCAUGGCCAGGCUGCCCUCACUGCUGCAGGGGAAACAGAGAGUGUGCUCUUUCUUCGCUGACAGUCCUGUGUUGUCAGACUGGGGAUGUUUCUUGACACAGGAUGGGCUGGAGAACUGAGUCAUGCUCCUACUGGAAAAUCACUAGUCAAGGUGACCCCUGCCCUAUCCCACUCAACCACACAUGUACUUGUGGACUCACUGGCCACUCAUUUAUACUCUCACUACACAAAGAGUGGUCCGUGAUCCACAGCCACAGCAGCACCCCAGAGCUCAUUAAGGAAUUCAGAAUCUCGGGCCCCACCCUUGACCUUGCAAUUCAGAAUCUUCAUUCUAACAAGUUCUCCAGGUUAUCUGUGAAUGCACUAAAGUCUGAGAUACUGCUCCUUCUAGGAGUAGCUGGAUUUUCUGUUUUGUUUUGUUUUUUACGUAAAGAAACAUUGUUAUAUUUUUAGAAGGCAAGCCCCUUUUCAAACAUUCUGAUUACUUUUUCUUAUGUCUUGAGAUGGUCUUUGAAAUCUAACCCUGAAAGGAGCUAUCCGCCACUGCCUGGCUUUUACACUGGUGACGUUCCCCAAAUUCAAAGUAAUCUGAACAAAUCCCACGGCUUCACUCAUCGACACCCUUUCUGGGUUCUCUUCUAACCAUCUGUCUCUUGUUUCAGACAAGCAUGAGGUCUGUAAGUCUUACAGAGUUUUAUUUAAACCCCAUCUCACUGCUCCUUGAGUGGAGGUUUCACAACUUUAUAGCUUUUGCAAUAUGUGAAUUGUCCUCAGUGGGGGCCGUCCUAGGGUUGACAUUGCCUAAGGACACUACAAAGAGGUUUCUAAGUGGGAAUUGCCAUGCCAGCUGCCAUGCAGCUUUCAGGACUUGGGUACUGAAUCUUCACCCCAGUGUGAAGAUUCUGAUUUCCUGCUCAACAGGAUGUAUUUGUGCAACUUAUUAAUACAGAAAUACAUACUUUACUAUUAUAUCCCAACCCCACAUAUGGAAGGUACCAGAAAAGAUUACCUUCACUUAACAAAUGAGGAAGCCAAGGCCCAGAGAGCAGAAGACUCUUGCUCAAGGUCACACAGCAAACUUGAGACAGAGUAUAUUGCUCAGAGGGUAGGAGUCAUCUUUGACCUAU
rnacentral:lncRNA from 1 species